GGGAUUAGUUACUAGGAAAGUGGUCAGAGAACAAGGGAGAUAGUUACUUGGCCAGAGUAAAGAGUCUAGAGUUAGGGGUGAGUAUAGAUCCUGACAACUGGAGGGAGUUAUGAAUUGCCCAGAUGUAAGAAAACGACAAAGCUAGCUGGCAUAUUAGACAAUAGUCAUCAGGAUGAUUUCUUUCUCUUCACCAUAGGAGUGAGCCUGUGAUCCGACAGAGCUUGAGGAAAGACCCCUAAACAUCUCUCUGCCCUUCUCAGCCCUGGUAGGUGGGCCCCUACCAGGAAGUUGUCUCAGAAAUUCCACCUGACCUCAGAGCUGCCUUCCUCCAUCUAACCCUGGGUUCUUGCUCCCCAUCCUGGGAUCUCCCUUCUCCUGUAUCCAGACCCUAGGCUCCCUCUUAUAUACCAGCUAUGGGAACCUGCCAGGUGGGAAGCAACUUGAAAGCAAGAUGCCCAGAGCUAUUCUGGUCCCUAUAGAUAACACCCUACACUCUGCCAGCCCUUGGAAAAUACAUAUUGAUGAUGAGAAUGCAUGUGAGAUUAUUCCAGAGCUUACUAAGGAGUUAAGCAUGGCGGGUGCUCAAUAAGGGUUGUUGACUGACUGCCUGCUUCAUUGAACGUAUAGAGCACAAUGGACAUACAAGACAGAUCAGUUGUAAAUGGGAUUAAACUUUAGCUGGGGAGAGCUAGGAAUCUUCUGAUGGAGAAGCCAGUUGCUCUUUGGAGAUGAUGACCAGGAGAGAUGAGGAAAUGGAAUUGAUGGAGAGGCGGCCAAAGAGAUGGGCUAAGGGUGAUACUCCCCAAGGCUGGUGGAUGACUUGUGUCCAAGUCCCUUCCAAUGCUAAGAUUCUAUGAGAAUCACCCCUUGUCCUUAACGCAGAAACUGUAACAUUCUUUGUGUGACCAUGGACAAGUCACUUAACCUCUAAGG
rnacentral:lncRNA from 1 species